UACGGAGGAUGCGAGCGUUAUCCGGAUUUAUUGGGUUUAAAGGGUGCGUAGGCGGACGCUUAAGUCAGCGGUAAAAUUGCGGGGCUCAACCUCGUCGAGCCGUUGAAACUGGGUGUCUUGAGUGGGCGAGAAGUACGCGGAAUGCGUGGUGUAGCGGUGAAAUGCAUAGAUAUCACGCAGAACUCCGAUUGCAAAGGCAGCGUACCGGCGCCCAACUGACGCUGAAGCACGAAGGCGUGGGUAUCGAACAGG
rnacentral:rRNA from 1 species